rnacentral:lncRNA from 1 species
GGACUAAUUAUGUUAGUUUUACAACAAAAAGUAAAAAUAAUAUUUUAAAUACCUAAACUGCCCCUGUUUGAUAUGGGCCUUUAGAUUCAAAUGGGGGAAAAGCUGAUGAUCUGACGGGCUAAUGAAUUCAGCAAGGUUAAAUUCAGCACCAUACGUGGUCUCUAUGAGGACAUUUGGUAUCUAUCGAGUCUCAGCAGUAUUCUGUUAUUA